ensembl:lncRNA
GUUCUAUGGUAUGAGUCUAUUGCUCUGGAACCUUAUCUUCUGUCUAUCCCCUCUCCAUGCUGGGAGGGUGGCACAGAGCUCGGCCUGCAUUUGGGGCUACAGAGGCCUCCUCAGAGAGGCCUCCUCAGAGAGGGAGCUCAGAACACAGGGAGCUCAGGAAGCAGUCAGCAAUGAGAACAAGGCACUUGGAGAGCAAAGCCCUCCCCUCAGCUUUUCUUCUCACAUUCCUGAGCAUUUAUGAAGAAAACACUAUAAGCUAGGCAUAGGAAACAGAGAGACGAGAGACGAACUAGACAGAAUUCUAAUCCUCAUGCAGCCUGUAUUCAGACAGGAAAGGAACUCUGCAGACUCCCCGAGGAAGGAGAGGCCUUGGGAGGGCGUCAUGUGUGUGCUCUGUGCUGACUGUUGUAAUGAGGCCCCAGGAGACCCGCUGCACCAAGGCAGACCUGGAACUUGGAAAAUGACUGCUGAGUACCUUCCCUGCACCUGUUCUGGCUGACACCCAUCCCCAUCUUUGCCCACAUCAUAGGCACUUGUGUUCUCACCUGGCUUCCCCGUGGGCAGUUAAUUUUGGUGUCUCUGCUCAAAUUGCUCUAGCUGUCCCAUGGUUCCAGGGUUCUGGAGGCAUGGUCUGUGCCACUACACUGCCGAAGUCUUGCCCUCACAGAGGCAUUUCCAUCACACACUUCUGCUCAUCUUCCAAGCCCUGGGGCAAACAGUCCUCUGUAAAUCUUAGCCAAAUGUCAGACAGGCCACCUCACCCUCCCUGGGACACCCAUGGUUUGUGGCUCCUGGCAGAGCUCUUAGGACUGUGGGCCUGGAAGCAGAGCUGGUCACUUGCAUCUCACUCCUCCUGGCCAGACCCCAGGUCCACAGACAAGUAGAAGCUGAGGCAAGGAGGCCUCUGUCUCAGUUCUGCUCUGCCAACUCCUUUACUCCAAAGUGAUGCUCUGCAUUCCAUUCAUAGAAGUUUUUUUUUAACAGAUUCUAUAGUGAAAUAACGGAAAAGGCAAUAGCACCCCACUCCAGUACUCCUGCUUGGAAAAUGCUAUGGACGGAGGAGCCUGUUAGGCUGCAAUCCAUGGGGUCGCUAAGAGUCGGACACGACUGAGUGACUUCACUUUCACUUUUCACUUUCAUGCAUUGGAGAAGGAAAUGGCAGCCCACUCCAGUGUUCUUGCCUGGAGAAUCCCAGGGAUGGGGGAGCCUGGUGGGCUGCCAUCUAUGGGGUCGCACAGAGUCGGACAUGACUGCAGUGACUUAGCAUAGCAUAGCAUAGUGAAAUAGAAAAUAAUACAUAAAAAUUUCCUGACCUCAGGACUCCUCUGAGCCUCCACUGUGUUCAUGACCUUUGUGAAUUUCUAAUAUUACAAUUCACAUGUACCCAGUCCAAUUGGGGGAAAGAUCAUUUUAGAGCUUUAUCUUAUACCAUAUGCCCAAAUAAACCCUAAGGGAGUUAAAGAAGGAAAUGUGAAAACUAUAAAAACUAAAGGGAAAUUAGUUCCAGACCAUGGAUUCCCCAAACCUGGGACUGAGACUAAUUAAUUCACAGUGUUCUAUCAUUAAAUAAUGAAUAGAAUGAACACAGGGUUUAUGAUAUCACUGACAAGCUAUGCACGUACCUUGAUUCUGCAUCUUGAGUAGGCUGCUGCAGCUGUUAGAUUGACACGCUUCCAUUUUGACCAUGUUCCUCCUAUGAAAUUACAUCCAGGAAACUAGUAACCUGACACUUGGAAAAGCUCCCUAAUAGUGCCAUCUAAUUUGACAUCACUUUCAGCCUGCAUAAAAUAGCCUUUUGUCCAAAGCAGUGACUUACCUGUGGUCCUUUUUCUGGACUCUGUGCUCCUGCAGGGCAGGCUAUGUCCAUCCCUCUUCACUGAGUACAAGCCCUACUCAGCAGACGCUCC